rnacentral:rRNA from 1 species
GACGAACGCUGGCGGCGUGCUUAACACAUGCAAGUCGAACGAAGAGCGACGGAAGCUUGCUUCUAUCAAUCUUAGUGGCGAACGGGUGAGUAACGCGUAAUCAACCUGCCCUUCAGAGGGGGACAACAGUUGGAAACGACUGCUAAUACCGCAUACGAUCUAAUCUCGGCAUCGAGGAUGGAUGAAAGGUGGCCUCUACAUGUAAGCUAUCACUGAAGGAGGGGAUUGCGUCUGAUUAGCUAGUUGGAGGGGUAACGGCCCACCAAGGCGAUGAUCAGUAGCCGGUCUGAGAGGAUGAACGGCCACAUUGGGACUGAGACACGGCCCAGACUCCUACGGGAGGCAGCAGUGGGGAAUCUUCCGCAAUGGACGAAAGUCUGACGGAGCAACGCCGCGUGAGUGAUGACGGUCUUCGGGUUGUAAAGCUCUGUUAAUCGGGACGAAGGGCCUUCUUGCGAAUAGUGAGAAGGAUUGACGGUACCGGAAUAGAAAGCCACGGCUAACUACGUG